GCCUGAGUGGCUCAGUCUGUUGAGCGUCUGUCUUCGGCUCAGGUCAUGAUCUCGCAGUCUGUGAGUUCGAGCCCCGCAUCAGGCU
rnacentral:tRNA from 1 species